AUCUAGCCCCGAUUGCAGUGGAAAGCUCCCAAUUUAUUGGGACUUGCAACGGAAAGCGGGAAUUACC
rnacentral:sRNA from 1 species